CAGUUACAACUACAAUGCAAUACGGUCCUUCUCUAAUACAAUACUCUUAAUCACAUAGUUUAAGUGAUAGUUUGUUUCAUGUCUACUAUCCAAUGUGAUACUUUCUUAUAUGAUUCCCUUGAAUAUGAUUUGGAACAUCCUUCCUUUAGUCAUAUUCAUUUGCUUUGGCCAAAGACUUUAGAAUCAUAUCUUAAAGUAUU
rnacentral:lncRNA from 1 species